AGUGAACGCUGGCGGUAGGCCUAACACAUGCAAGUCGAACGGCAACACAGUAAGAGCUUGCUCUUACGGGUGGCGAGUGGCGGACGGGUGAGGAAUACAUCGGAAUCUACUUUUUCGUGGGGGAUAACGUAGGGAAACUUACGCUAAUACCGCAUACGACCUACGGGUGAAAGCAGGGGAUCUUCGGACCUUGCGCGAUUGAAUGAGCCGAUGUCGGAUUAGCUAGUUGGCGGGGUAAAGGCCCACCAAGGCGACGAUCCGUAGCUGGUCUGAGAGGAUGAUCAGCCACACUGGAACUGAGACACGGUCCAGACUCCUACGGGAGGCAGCAGUGGGGAAUAUUGGACAAUGGGCGCAAGCCUGAUCCAGCCAUACCGCGUGGGUGAAGGAGGCCUUCGGGUUGUAAAGCCCUUUUGUUGGGAAAGAAAAGCAGCAGGUUAAUACCCCGCUGUUCUGACGGUACCCAAAGAAUAAGCACCGGCUAACUUCGUG
rnacentral:rRNA from 1 species